GGGGGAGCAACAUGAAGUCACAGACCCAGGUCCUCAUAUCCCUGCUGCUAUGGGUGUCUGGUGUCUGUGCAGACAUCAUGAUGACUCAGUCUCCAUCCUCCCUGGCUGUGUCAGCAGGAGAGAAGGUCUCCAUCAGCUGCAGGUCCAGUCAGAGCCUUUAUCACAGCAGCAGCAAAAAGAAUUUAUUGUCCUGGUACCAGCAGGUACCAGGACAGUCUCCUAAGCUGCUGAUCAACGAUGCAUCCACCGGGGACACUGGGGUCCCUGAUCGCUUCACAGGCAGUGGCUCUGGGACAGAUUUCACUCUCAGCAUCAACAGUGUACAGGAUGAAGACCUGGCAACUUAUUACUGUCUGCAAGGUCUUAGUACUCCUCCCACAGAACUUUGCAAGAGUCACCCUCAUAUCCUCCCGGGAGGUUAUCCUGUCAUAAGUCUCCAGCUUGUCACAGAGACGCCGCCGGUCAUGGUUUCUCUUCUCUUUGCAAGCCAUCUUAUCCUCCUGCCCAUGCUCUCCUCAGGACCCUUGUACUGGAUUCCCUUCUCUAGUCCUGAUAUGAGAGCUCAUGCCAAGUCUUAUCCUAACUUGUUACACAAUAAUCUGUUGUUAUUCCUGGGAAGCCAGCAAUUUACUGAAGGAAAAGGAGGAUGA